UACGUAGGUGGCAAGCGUUGUCCGGAUUAUUGGGUUUAAAGGGUGCGUAGGCGGCCUUGUAAGUCAGUGCUGAAAUAUCCCGGCUUAACCGGGAGGGUGGCAUUGAUACUGCAGGGCUUGAGUAAAGUUGAGGUUGGCGGAAUUGACGGUGUAGCGGUGAAAUGCUUAGAUAUGACAUAGAACACCGAUAGCGAAGGCAGCUUGCUACACAAUUAUUGACACUGAGGCUCGAAAGCGUGGGGAUCAAACAGG
rnacentral:rRNA from 1 species